UGGGGAAUUUUGGACAAUGGGGGAAACCCUGAUCCAGCCAUCACGCGUGUGCGAUGAAGGCCCUCGGGUUGUAAAGCACUUUUGGCAGGAAAGAAACGUCAUGGGUUAAUACCCCGUGAAACUGACGGUACCUGCAGAAUAAGCACCGGCUAACUACGUGCCAGCAGCCGCGGUAAUACGUAGGGUGCAAGCGUUAAUCGGAAUUACUGGGCGUAAAGCGUGCGCAGGCGGUUCGGAAAGAAAGAUGUGAAAUCCCAGAGCUCAACUUUGGAACUGCAUUUUUAACUACCGGGCUAGAGUGUGUCAGAGGGAGGUGGAAUUCCGCGUGUAGCAGUGAAAUGCGUAGAUAUGCGGAGGAACACCGAUGGCGAAGGCAGCCUCCUGGGAUAACACUGACGCUCAUGCACGAAGGCGUGGGGAGCAAACAGG
rnacentral:rRNA from 1 species